CGAUUGUGCGCGCCACGUUUGCAGAGAAGAGGAAUUAGAUAGUUGCCAGAAUCUGGAAUUCUAAGCGUGCGUACAUAACCUAUACUUUUCCUAAUUUAUAUAACAUUACAUUUGUACGUGUUAUUUUUAUAUUUUGAAUGAAGAUCUUGAAUGAGAAUGUUAUUGUAGUUUUGAUCUUAAUUAUUUGUUAAUUCAAAGACUUCGGAUUACGUGGAUGUACAUGAAAUUAUGCAAAGUUUGAAAUCGUUAAUAUUGAUGUUGUGUGUACAUGGAAGAUCGAUCGUUUAAUAAAUCGAAAGUUUAUUGAAAGCUAAAAUUACUGUAUAUUAUGAAUCAGUCACAGAAUAACACAACAGAGCAACAAUGUGUCAUUGUUUUUUCUAUGCCGUUUGACAUUUUAAGAGAAGAACUUAAGCUCGAUGAAGAAUUCGUCGAAAAACAAUGGCGGCGGCAUUCAAGCCGCAUGUGUUCAGACCAUGUGAUUUACACCGGUCUCCGGGCCAUGCAUCCACCGGCUGGAAUUAAAUUACUUUCUACGGGGCGUUCGCCUUUCAUGAAAUCGACGCGAUCCCUUAACAGCGGCAAACUUAUUAUCAACGAUACACACCGGACGUCCGUUUCAUUAAACCGCGCCUAAGAACUUGACGUGGGUAAAACGCGGGCUUAUUUCAGAUCGUCUGGGCAAUAAUUAAGCAUAAUUAAUGUCUCGAGUAAUUGGACAGGGAGAUGCUGACCAAAGGAGGUUCCCAAAAUCAGGAUAAAAGGCCCCCAUCUGGUUUGAAAUGAGGAAAUGUUCUCCUUUGGGAAUUUUGUAAAAUUAAUCGGUUAACGGAAAUACAAAAAGAGAGGAUAAAGAGAAACCAUGGAGAGUGAAUACAUUGAAAAUCACAGUGCAAGGCAGUAAAUUGUUAAAUUGGAUAAAACUAGCUCGUAUAGGACUUCACUCGUCAUCAAAGAAACCUCGCAUGCUACGGUAUCCUACACAACCAAGUAUUCACGGAACGAGGAAAAACGCGUUUUCCCCGAGCAGCCAGCUGGCUUUCAUUUGCCUGUAACGGGAAGUGAACGACGUAAUAGGAACUGGAGGAAUCCAGCAACGAUGAACUGCAAGGUCAAUGAUUUUCCGAGCAGACCGAUGAACUUGCCUUGCGCAUAAGUACAUACGUGCACUACAGAAGAUACCAAUACUGGAGAGCAAGUGAGAAAGAAAGAGAUAGAGAACGAGAGGAGGCAAGGUCGUUGCCUAGAUAACAGUUGGAAGAAUAUAUUACGAAUUGGUUGGAAAUAGUUUAAAGGAAAUUUCAAUUGGACAAAGAAAAUUUUUUCAAGGUAAUUAUAAA